CGCGUAGGCGGACUUUCAAGUCGGAUGUGAAAUCUCUGGGCUUAACUCAGAGCGUGCAUCCGAUACUGUUGGUCUUGAGUAUAUCAGAGGAAAGCGGAAUUCCAGGUGUAGCGGUGAAAUGCGUAGAUAUCUGGAAGAACACCAGUAGCGAAGGCGGCUUUCUGGGGUAAUACUGACGCUGAAGCGCGAAGGCUAGGGGAGCAAACA
rnacentral:rRNA from 1 species